AUUGAACGCUGGCGGCAUGCCUUACACAUGCAAGUCGAACGGCAGCACGGACUUCGGUCUGGUGGCGAGUGGCGAACGGGUGAGUAAUAUAUCGGAACAUACCCUAGAGUGGGGGAUAACGUAGCGAAAGUUACGCUAAUACCGCAUACGAACUAAGGUUGAAAGUGGGGGAUCGCAAGACCUCAUGCUCAUGGAGUGGCCGAUAUCUGAUUAGCUAGUUGGUGAGGUAAAGGCUCACCAAGGCGACGAUCAGUAGCUGGUCUGAGAGGACGACCAGCCACACUGGAACUGAGACACGGUCCAGACUCCUACGGGAGGCAGCAGUGGGGGAAUUUUGGACAAUGGGCGCAAGCCUGAUCCAGCCAUUCCGCGUGAGUGAAGAAGGCCUC
rnacentral:rRNA from 1 species